rnacentral:lncRNA from 10 species
GGGUUUCAAUGGGAUGAGUUUCCUGCCAACACUUGACAACAAUAUCCGUGCUGGGUCAUGGCAGUUUGAUUGGACAUCAGGGAGAAAAAGGCUCAAACGGGCCACCCAAGACCUCAGCAUGAGUCUGCAAACUGAAACUGAGAAACAUGUGACGGAUGCAACUGGAAACUGGGAGCAGGAACGUGGCCUCCCCUAUUCUUCACUCAAACCAUUACCUUCAAAGACUUUAUUUUUGUCCUUUCCUUAAGCAUUCAAAAAAUAAAGAAAAAAAGAACACAACGUAUAUAUGAACAUCUUUGCUGCACUCUAAAACUGUACUAUCUAUGCAACAGCCACCAGCCACCUGUGGCUAUUUGGAUUCAAAUAAAAUACAAUUUUAAAAGUUGUUUUAAAACAUCUUUCAGUUUCUAAAUCCAGCUAGCCACAUUUCGUAUACCCAAUAGCCACAUGUGGCUAAUGGUGACUGUAUUGGCAGCACAGGAAAUGGAACGUUUCUAUCACCACUGAAGGUUCCGUUAGACGGUGCUGCUCUACCAUCAGAAAAUGAAAUUUUGUGCUUUCUAUUCUCUUAGACUGUUGUUGGGAACAUUUUUUCACAGUUACUGGUGGUCUCAAAAAUCUGUCCCUGAGAAAGUCCUGGUUUGUGUAACUGUGUCACAAUUGUAACACCAUUUUCGUGUGACACGUAUUCACAUGUGCAGUAGUUUGGCGUUUCAGGCUUUUCAUGUUCAUAUCAAUACUUUUCUCUUAUCAAAACAAACAAACACAUUUCCAUUGUGUCCAAUUUCUAAUGGGAAUUUAGGUCCUAUACUUUGUUGGAAACAUAACUUCAGGCUACUGAACGAAAAAAAUUCAUCACUUUCAUUUUUCUUUUCUGCCAAAAAAAUAAUCAAUAUAUUUAAAUAUGAGGCAUUUAAUCAGUUGUUAAUUUGAGUUUAAUGUUUGUAUCAAGGGUAAGAUCAUCAGAAACUAAAUGUUUAUGUCAACUGGUGAAAUAAAUGAUAUGAAACCAUAAGGACCAGUGAGAUCAUGUUGUCCUUAAUAUUGUAUAUUGUAUGUAUCAGAGAUCACUGGAUGGGUUUUAUAUUGACCCUUCUAGGUACACAAGUGGUUAAAAGUAUUUGUGCUUCUGGAACUACUUAUUUGUGCUUCUAGAACUGCCUGGUUGUUGCAAAGAUUUACUCCAUCUGACAACCUGAAAUGUGUUUGAUCUGUCAAGUUUUAGAAGAGAAAAUAAUUCCCUUGUGCUAUGAUCUACUAGAGUAAAAGUCUUUGUAAGGUAAGGAAAAUUAAAACAGUG